rnacentral:misc_RNA from 1 species
AACCUAGCACACCUGCGGUGUGUACCUGCGGAAGGAUCAUUACAGAGUUGCAAAACUCCCUAAACCAUUGUGAACGUUACCUAAACCGUUGCUUCGGCGGGCGGCCCGGGUCCUUCCCGGCGCCCAUCGGCCCUCGCGGGCGCCCGCCGGAGGUAAACCAAACUAUUGCAUUGUAUGGCCUCUCUGAGUCUUCUGUACUGAAUAAGUCAAAACUUUUAACAAUGGAUCUCAGAUCGGAAG